AUACCCGCAGCCCAAGUGGUGGUCGAUUUUAUUGAGUCUAAAACGUUCGUAGCCGGUUCAUUAAAUCCUUGGGUAAAUCGGAUGGCUUAACUAUCCGAAUUCCGGGGAGACUGGUGAACUUGGGACCGGGAGAGGCAAGAGGUACUUUUGGGGUAGGGGUAAAAUCCUGUAAUCCUAAAAGGACCACCGGUGGCGAAGGCGUCUUGCUAGGACGGAUCCGACGGUGAGGGACGAAGCCCUGGGUCGCAAACGGGAUUAGAUACCCCGGUAGUCCAGGGUGUAAACGCUGCAGACUUGGUGUUGGGGACCCUUCGGGGGUGUUCAGUGCCGGAGAGAAGUUGUUAAGUCUGCUACUUGGGGAGUACGUCCGCAAGGAUGAAACUUAAAUGAAUUGGCGGGG
rnacentral:rRNA from 1 species